rnacentral:rRNA from 1 species
GAUGAACGCUGGCGGCGUGCUUAACACAUGCAAGUCGAACGAAGCAUGUAAAACAAUCCUUCGGGUGCGUUUUACAUGACUGAGUGGCGGACGGGUGAGUAACGCGUGGGGAACCUGCCGUAUGCAGGGGGACAACAGUCAGAAAUGACUGCUAAUACCGCAUAAGCGCACAAUGCUGCAUGGCAUGGUGUGAAAAGAUUUAUCGGCAUACGAUGGCCCCGCGUCUGAUUAGCCAGUUGGCAGGGUAACGGCCUACCAAAGCAACGAUCAGUAGCCGGCUUGAGAGAGUGACCGGCCACAUUGGGACUGAGACACGGCCCAGACUCCGUACGGGAGCUG